CCGUGUGAUUAAAGCUUUUCAGACGCAAAAACAAACAGCACUAAAUCAACAUACAAUCUCAAUAGUCAUAGUUAAUCUUGUACCAUUCAUGGGCAACAUGAUAGAAGACCACCAGCCAUCUACAAGUGUUAAGAGAUUCAGAAAUUUUCUUAAUGCAGAAGUAGUAACACUUAACAAUAAUAUGAGUUUGCUUUGCUAACUUGAUGGAUUGUUGUACCAUGUCAAUCCCUCCAACAAGCUAUAGAAAAAGCGAUCAAAUAAACUGUUUAGUAUGCAAGUAUUCUGCUAAGCGAAAACAAAACAAGAGGAAUUGCUUCUAUUUGAAUCUUUAGCGGACUCUUCCAACCCAAUUUAUCACAACCUUCCACCAAUGAAUUGGGUAAGCCCAAAUCCUUAAAUCAUUUCAUUUCAUUAUUCUCUACUUCCAUUCUCACUUUCUAAUCUAUGUGCCAAACGUCAAAACCAUCAAAACCAAUUCAACAAUUAACUCAUACAUAUUAUUGUAAAGUAAAAUUGUUGUAAAAUUUAUCUCGUCAAAAUAUGAAAGCCUAUAUGAACUUUCAGAUUUCCAUAAAAAUAAAAGUAAACGAUUUUUUGGAGAAUCAUAAUCAUAAGAAAAUUUGCAAAUAUUGACAACGUACACAAUUAGAUUCACAAUCCAUUAUAAUGAAAAAAAGAAACAUUUUUAUUAUUUUAUGGCAUGAUUACAUGUGAAUGAUGCUAAAAGAUCCUAGAAUAAUUUAAUCACGAAUAGGCACAAAGUAAGUGAGGUUUCUAAAGUGUAGCCAUGCCUUCUCCAAAACAGUAAUAAUAUAUUUGUUAAAAUCGAUACCACUUGUUGUAGUAAUGUUGAGGCAAUAUUUUAUCCCUUCGACGACCUUAGUCUCACCACCUAUGACCUUAUCAAACUUUAGAUUCGACUGUGUUUGUUUGUCGUAUUCGGUUACGGCGAAAUUGGCAAGUUCGAUGACAUGUGGGUUGUUAAGGUCCUUGAUGGGGAACCAACCACCGGGAGCAGCUUGAUUUCUUAUAGCCAUAGAGCCCACAAACACAACAAAUAGGAGAAGUCUCAUGGUGCUAACUAUUAUUUUUUAAAGAUUCACAAAUGGUGUUUGUUGGAUGAGUUAGCCUCUUAUUUAUAUUGAACAUGUGUUACUCUUUUGGUAAAUAAAUUUAAUUGUAUUUGACAUAAAAUUUAAAUCAUUUAUACCAACUUUUCUUUCAUUAAUUUUUAUUUAUAUUUUUUAAGGGAGGAAGGAUAUAUUGUUAAUAUAAACAACAACUAAUUUUCAUAUCACAAUAAUAAAUGAGUUGACUAACUAUAUUAUUGUAAAGUUUUAUUAUAUAUUUUAAAUUAUAUAGUGAAAUACCGAUAUUAUUAUGUAUUAUAUUAUGAAUUUGAAUUUGAGAUUUAGUAGGGGUGUGUGUGAAUUUUUGGUAUAAUUUAAUAUUUUGUCAACAUGCAAUUUUUGUGAAACUAUCAUAAAUUUUAUGAGGGAGUUAAAUAUAUAAAAAAAUAUUUUUAAAGUUAAUAUACCAAACUUAAAUGAUUAACAUAAAAAAUCAUAAUAAUUUUUACUUAAUAAUAGUAUAAAAUAUGAACCAAAGUACAAAAUAAAAAUUCACCAUAGUUAUUUAUAACUAUUUAAUUUAACCAAAAUUUAAAGAGUUAAGUUCAUCUAUAAUUGAAUAUAUACUCAUAAAAAAUAUUUUUCUAAAACAUAAAAAAAUAUGGAGGGGGUACAAUAAUUUACUCCUGGUCUUUCGAUUAAAUAAAAUCAAAAACUAAAGUUUUAUGUCAAAUUAAAUUUUGAUACCAUAGUGUCAUUUGAUGUCAUUCUUAGAGACAUACUAAAGUUAAUAAAAUAUAAUGUGAGAUAAUCAAAUGUUAUUAUUCUUACAAACUUAUGAUUAGGAUUUAUAAUCAAGGUUUUUUUUUUCCUUAUUUUUUUUUGGGAAAUAAAUAUUCAGUUUAAGUUUUUCAUCUAUAGAACAUGGACUUUAUUUCUCUAGAUUUUUCAUGUAAGAUUAAAUUAUACGAUUAAGCCAUUGUUUUAAAAUUUUAUUAAGAUAUUGAGGUUUAUUUGAUAUUGUUAAUUUAUUUUUGAUAAUUCUAUUCAUUUUCAUUCGAUUAUUUAUUAUUGUGAUUUUUUAAUUCAAAUCUCAAUCAGAUUGAUAAAUUUCAUUUUAUAGAUCUAUUAUAUGUGACGUUUGAUCCUUAACUAUAAUCUAUCAUAUACUAUGAUGCUAUCAUAUACUCUAAUGUUUAAUUCAAAUAAAUAAACAAAAUUCACAUAAGUCUAAUUUGAUCAAAUGUAUAGUUAAACAGAAAUAGAAUAAGAAAUGGAACUCUUUAGAAAUAUGUGAUAAAAAAUAAUGGCAUAUAUUUAAAAAAUAAUGAACAAAAUAAAAAUAUUUGGAUUUAAUGAAAAAAUCAUGCACUCACAAUGUUGAUACUAAACUUUGAAUCUUAUAUAAAAGAGAAAUUGGAGAAAAUAUUUAUUCUCACUGUUCCCAAUCACGAGUCUUCAAACAACACGAUAAUUUUAUGGCUCAAAUUGUGAAUUGUAUUAAAUUGUUAUCUUAAUCUUAAAUCAAAGUUAAAGUUAAGAAUUUUGUUUAUUUUAACUUUUCUAUUUUUUUUUAUUUAAGUAUAUUUUUGUGUUGAGGUUUGUAAAUGCAUUUUUGCGUUAACUUAACUUUGUGUAUAUAUUUUUGUUAAAAUUAAUUUUUUUAACGCAAUCUAUUUGGAUAUUUUCUCUUCCAACGUUGUUUAUAAAAUAAAAUUUGAUUAUAUUAUAUAUUUAAAUUACUUUCAAAUGUAUAUUUUUUAAAAUGAUAUAUAUUGUUAAUAUGAAUAAUAUUGUUAUAUGAAAUUUUUAAAUAAUAAUAACUACUACAAAAAAAUCUCAAAACAAAACCCAAGAACACGCUCAUUCUUCAGCCGCAGAGAGACUUUUGAAUUGCGAGGUACCAUUACGAGCUCAAUAUAUACUCAAUAUAUACGAGUGUUAUUCCGUGAAAUAACUUGAAUUUCAAAUCAAUAAAUUAAAAAAAAUAAUAAAAACAAAUUGUUGUAAAGUAAAAUUCAAGACACUUACCAAAUAAAUAAAAAAUGCAAAAAAAUCUAGCUACAAAAAUAUUAAGUGUGAAAAAUAAAAAUAAAAUUAGUUGAGAGAGAAAGAAAAACAAUAAAAAUCUCACAUCUAAAUGAAAACUGAAGAAUGUAAAAGUAAUAUUGGCAUUAGUUAUAGAUAAACAUUAUUUAGAACAAAAUUAAGUUUGGAAAUGAAUUUUCAAGAGAACUUAAACAAGAUGUCAAACAUAUUUUAAUAAUUUAUCUUGUCAAAAUAAUAUGAAAACCUAUAUGAAGUUUCAGAUUUCCAUAAAAAUAAAAGUAAACAAUUUUCCAGAGAAUCAUAGUCAUAAGAAAGUUUGUAAAUAUUGACAACGUACAGAACUAGAUUCACAAUCCAUUAUAAUAAUAAAUAAAUAAACGAAACAUUUUUAUUAUUUUAUGGCAUGAUUACAUGUGAAUGAUGCUAAAAGAUCCUAGAAUAAUUUAAUCACGAAUAGACACAAAAUAAGUGAGGUUUCUAAAGUGUAGCCAUGCCUUCUCCAAAACAGUAACAAUAUAUUUGUUAAAAUCGAUACCACCGGUAGUAGUAAUGUUGAGGCAAUAUUUUAUCCCUUCGACAACCUUAGUCUCACCACCUAUGACCUUAUCAAACUUUAGAUUCGACUAUGUUUGUUUGUCGUGUUCGGUUACGGCGAAAUUGACAAAUUCGAUGACAUGUGGGUUGUUAAGGUCCUUGAUGAGACCCAACUACCGGGGACAACUUGAUUUCUUAUAGCCAUAGAGGCCACAAACACAACAAAUAGGAGAAGUCUCAUGGUGCUAACUAUUAUUUUUUAAAGAUUCACAUAUGGUGUUUGUUGGCG
rnacentral:lncRNA from 1 species